rnacentral:ncRNA from 1 species
GGAACUUGUACACGUUGUGGAGCAACGAUAGUAAAA